rnacentral:rRNA from 1 species
AUACGGAGGAUGCAAGCGUUAUCCGGAUUUAUUGGGUUUAAAGGGUGCGUAGGCGGAUGAUUAAGCGUGAGGUGAAAUGCCACUGCUCAACAGUGGAACUGCCUCGCGAACUGGUUGUCUUGAAUGCUCCUGCCGUGGGAGGAAUGUGUGGUGUAGCGGUGAAAUGCAUAGAGAUCACACAGAACACCGAUUGCGAAGGCAUCUCACGAAGGGGUGAUUGACGCUGAGGCACGAAAGCGUGGGGAUCAAACAGGGUUAGAUACCCUGGUAGUCCACGCAGUAAACGAUGAUAACUAACCGCUGGGUCGUAGUGAUUCAGUGGCCAAGCGAAAGCGAUAAGUUAUCCACCUGGGGAGUACGACCGCAAGGUUGAAACUCAAAGGAAUUGACGGGG